UAUUGCUAUAAUUUAGCAGACCCAUGACAAGAAGGGAGGUUAAUCGAAAGGAAAACUCUGUGAGCUUAGAAAAUUGCAAGCAACUUAAGCGUGGCCAACAGGGUAAUUGUCACCACCAAAUUUUCUGCUCAAACAGAAAACCUUCCGUACAUAUAGAAAACACUCAAAAGUCAUCUUUGCGAAGCUAAGGGCUACUAUUUUAAAAGCGAUUCUCAAUCAAAUUCUACUUACUUCUACAGCGUGUUAUUCGGACACAAUUAACGAUUCUCUUAUUUAAGUAUCAAACCUAUCCCA